UACGUAGGGUGCAACGUUUGUCCGGAAUUAUUGGGCGUAAAGAGCUCGUAGGCGGCUUGUCGCGUCGGCUGUGAAAACCCCGGGGCUCAACCCCGGGCCUGCAGUCGAUACGGGCAGGCUAGAGUCCGGUAGGGGAGACUGGAAUUCCUGGUGUAGCGGUGAAAUGCGCAGAUAUCAGGGAGGAACACCGGUGGCGAAGGCGGGUCUCUGGGCCGGAACUGACGCUAAGGAGCGAAAGCGUGGGGAGCGAACAAG
rnacentral:rRNA from 1 species